rnacentral:rRNA from 1 species
AAUUAAGCUACUAAGGGCGUACGGUGAAUGCCUUGGCGCUGAGAGCCGAUGAAGGACGUGGUACACUGCGAAAAGCCUCGGGAAGCCGUGUGCAGGCGUAAUACCCGGGGGUGUCCGAGAUGGGGAAAACCGCCUGGGGUCAUGCUCAGGCACCGUUCUGCUGAAUACAUGGGCAGAGCGGAGGGAACGCAGGGAACUGAAUCAUCUUAGUACCUGCAGGAAAAGAAAGCAUUCCCUGAGUAGUGGCGAACGAAAGGGGAAGAGUCCAAACCGAUGCCACUCAGUGGCGUGCAGGCCUAUGUGGCGUCGGGGUAGUAGGGCACGGCAGAGCUUCUUCACGGGCUCAAGGGAGUUACAAAUCUAGGUGCUAGUCGAAUCCUACUGGAAAGGGGAUCCACAGAGGGUGAUAGACCCGUAGACAAAAGCGCGUAGACUCCCGCCGAUGACCCUGAGUACCACGGGACACGAGAAACCCCGUGGGAAGCAGGGAGGACCACCUCCCAAGGCUAAAUACUACUCAGCGACCGAUAGCGAACAAGUACCGUGAGGGAAAAGUGAAAAGAACCCCGGCGAGGGGAGUGAAAUAGAACCUGAAACCGUAUGCCUACAAGCUGUCGAAGCACUAUGGCUCCUUCGGGAGCAAGGUGUGACGGCGUGCCUUUUGGAGAAUGAGCUGGCGAGUUACCGUCUGUCGCGAGGUUAAGGCAGUUACAGCUGUAGCCGUAGCGAAAGCGAGUCCGAAUAGGGCGUAGUAGUGGCAGGGGGUAGACACGAAACUAGGUGAGCUACUCAUGGCCAGGCUGAAGCGGGAUUAACCUCCCGUGGAGGGCCGAACUUUUCGCUGAUGCAAAAGCGUGAGAUGAGCUGUGGGUAGAGGUGAUAUGCCUAUCGAACCUAGAGAUAUCUUGUUCUCUCCGAAAUUGCUUUAGGGUUAGCCUCGCGGGUUGAGUGCUGGAGGUAGAGCACUGGAUGGGCUAGGAUGCUUAACGCUACCAAACCCAACCAAACUCCGAAUGCCAGCAUUUUAGACCGCGGGAGUGGGACUACGGGAGAUGAGUUUCGUAGUCAAGAGGGAAAGAGCCCAGACCGCCGGCUAAGGUCCCUAAGUGUAAGCUAAGUGGUAAACGAAGU